rnacentral:rRNA from 1 species
GGGUUGUGAGGUUAAGCGACUAAGCGUACACGGUGGAUGCCCUGGCAGUCAGAGGCGAUGAAGGACGUGCUAAUCUGCGAUAAGCGUCGGUAAGGUGAUAUGAACCGUUAUAACCGGCGAUUUCCGAAUGGGGAAACCCAGUGUGAUUCGUCACACUAUCAUUAACUGAAUCCAUAGGUUAAUGAGGCGAACCGGGGGAACUGAAACAUCUAAGUACCCCGAGGAAAAGAAAUCAACCGAGAUUCCCCCAGUAGCGGCGAGCGAACGGGGAGCAGCCCAGAGCCUGAAUCAGUGUGUGUGUUAGUGGAAGCGUCUGGAAAGGCGCGCGAUACAGGGUGACAGCCCCGUACACAAAAAUGCACAUACUGUGAGCUCGAUGAGUAGGGCGGGACACGUGGUAUCCUGUCUGAAUAUGGGGGGACCAUCCUCCAAGGCUAAAUACUCCUGACUGACCGAUAGUGAACCAGUACCGUGAGGGAAAGGCGAAAAGAACCCCGGCGAGGGGAGUGAAAAAGAACCUGAAACCGUGUACGUACAAGCAGUGGGAGCACGCUUAGGCGUGUGACUGCGUACCUUUUGUAUAAUGGGUCAGCGACUUAUAUUCUGUAGCAAGGUUAACCGAAUAGGGGAGCCGAAGGGAAACCGAGUCUUAACUGGGCGUUAAGUUGCAGGGUAUAGACCCGAAACCCGGUGAUCUAGCCAUGGGCAGGUUGAAGGUUGGGUAACACUAACUGGAGGACCGAACCGACUAAUGUUGAAAAAUUAGCGGAUGACUUGUGGCUGGGGGUGAAAGGCCAAUCAAACCGGGAGAUAGCUGGUUCUCCCCGAAAGCUAUUUAGGUAGCGCCUCGUGAAUUCAUCUCCGGGGGUAGAGCACUGUUUCGGCAAGGGGGUCAUCCCGACUUACCAACCCGAUGCAAACUGCGAAUACCGGAGAAUGUUAUCACGGGAGACACACGGCGGGUGCUAACGUCCGUCGUGAAGAGGGAAACAACCCAGACCGCCAGCUAAGGUCCCAAAGUCAUGGUUAAGUGGGAAACGAUGUGGGAAGGCCCAGACAGCCAGGAUGUUGGCUUAGAAGCAGCCAUCAUUUAAAGAAAGCGUAAUAGCUCACUGGUCGAGUCGGCCUGCGCGGAAGAUGUAACGGGGCUAAACCAUGCACCGAAGCUGCGGCAGCGACGCUGAUGCGUUGUUGGGUAGGGGAGCGUUCUGUAAGCCUGUGAAGGUGUGCUGUGAGGCAUGCUGGAGGUAUCAGAAGUGCGAAUGCUGACAUAAGUAACGAUAAAGCGGGUGAAAAGCCCGCUCGCCGGAAGACCAAGGGUUCCUGUCCAACGUUAAUCGGGGCAGGGUGAGUCGACCCCUAAGGCGAGGCCGAAAGGCGUAGUCGAUGGGAAACAGGUUAAUAUUCCUGUACUUGGUGUUACUGCGAAGGGGGGACGGAGAAGGCUAUGUUGGCCGGGCGACGGUUGUCCCGGUUUAAGCGUGUAGGCUGGUUUUCCAGGCAAAUCCGGAAAAUCAAGGCUGAGGCGUGAUGACGAGGCACUACGGUGCUGAAGCAACAAAUGCCCUGCUUCCAGGAAAAGCCUCUAAGCAUCAGGUAACAUCAAAUCGUACCCCAAACCGACACAGGUGGUCAGGUAGAGAAUACCAAGGCGCUUGAGAGAACUCGGGUGAAGGAACUAGGCAAAAUGGUGCCGUAACUUCGGGAGAAGGCACGCUGAUAUGUAGGUGAAGCGACUUGCUCGUGGAGCUGAAAUCAGUCGAAGAUACCAGCUGGCUGCAACUGUUUAUUAAAAACACAGCACUGUGCAAACACGAAAGUGGACGUAUACGGUGUGACGCCUGCCCGGUGCCGGAAGGUUAAUUGAUGGGGUCAGCGCAAGCGAAGCUCUUGAUCGAAGCCCCGGUAAACGGCGGCCGUAACUAUAACGGUCCUAAGGUAGCGAAAUUCCUUGUCGGGUAAGUUCCGACCUGCACGAAUGGCGUAAUGAUGGCCAGGCUGUCUCCACCCGAGACUCAGUGAAAUUGAACUCGCUGUGAAGAUGCAGUGUACCCGCGGCAAGACGGAAAGACCCCGUGAACCUUUACUAUAGCUUGACACUGAACAUUGAGCCUUGAUGUGUAGGAUAGGUGGGAGGCUUUGAAGUGUGGACGCCAGUCUGCAUGGAGCCGACCUUGAAAUACCACCCUUUAAUGUUUGAUGUUCUAACGUUGACCCGU